UGAAUAAAGACUUUAAUUAUAACCACUCUCUACCCUUCCUGUGUCUCCUAUGAUGUCUGGACCACGGGACACAACAGAUGUUGUGUGUCCAUUGGAAUAGUAAGGUCCCACGAUUGAAAGGCUAGACAGGUGUUCGAAAGCUCCGCCCACCCACCGGACCCUCUCUAUAUAGGAAAUCUAGACUUUGGCUAGAGACAUGGCUCGAUACAUGACCGGUCGAUUGCUGGUCUCUUGUUUUAUUGAUUUUUCUGAAUAUCUCGAUGGAUUGAAGGACCCCCAAGGGACCGCCCAUAUUCUCAGAAAUGGCUUUCAUCAACACUGAGCUUGAGAUGAAACUUGAAAAAGCCAAGCUAAAGGGAACAGAUGUAAGUUUGAAGGACCACUAGAUCCCGAAGUAACCUGAUGCCCUGUUCCGGCUCGACAAGGAUUUGAUGGAAGCCUGAUUGAAGUCCAAGCUGGUGUAAAAUUCCUGUCCUCCACAUAGAUAUCAACUCGGACACCAUAGGGUUGGUCGUUGCACAGAAUGCUCGAGACAAUCAGACGAGGAUGGUGAUUCGGAUCGAAAUCCUGAGGAAGACUCCUUCUUCCAACUCGAUCUGAUGCUCAAAUGAACCUUUAUACUCGCCAGUGAUUCCAUCUGGUGGCUUAUCUUCCUCAUUCUUUCACUAUUCUCGUUUUUCUACUCGCAUUUCCAUCUCAAUGGAUCGAAGACCUUAUUUUCCAAUUCUCGGUAACUUGGUGUUUAGAGAAAUUAUCUCAAACAUCGCUCCGAUUGACCUCGUAUCGUUGGCUAGCUCUUCUAAACGCUGUCAACGAAUCAUAAAAUCCAGCAAGUCGGUUUUCAAGGAUGACCCUGCACAAUUGGAACUUACAAUUAGUUUUAAAGAAUUUUCGGAGGAGGACGAUGAAUCUGAAGAUUCUACAAAAAAGCGAUUUCAGCCAUGUCUGAUAAUCGGUCAUCACUGAGAACGGCGGAGCAAUGAUAGAACGUGACGACGGAGUCAACCUGGUCGCAUGGCUAUUCGUCAGUCCGAAUUAUCUGUCUUGGACAACCCCAAGCAAGCAGCAAUAAUUGUUUUGGUUUUUCCGCAAUGCAUAACAAUAAUAAA
rnacentral:lncRNA from 14 species